GAUGAACGCUGGCGGCGUGCCUAAUACAUGCAAGUCGAGCGAACAGACGAGGAGCUUGCUCCUCUGACGUUAGCGGCGGACGGGUGAGUAACACGUGGAUAACCUACCUAUAAGACUGGGAUAACUUCGGGAAACCGGAGCUAAUACCGGAUAAUAUAUUGAACCGCAUGGUUCAAUAGUGAAAGACGGUUUUGCUGUCACUUAUAGAUGGAUCCGCGCCGCAUUAGCUAGUUGGUAAGGUAACGGCUUACCAAGGCGACGAUGCGUAGCCGACCUGAGAGGGUGAUCGGCCACAUGGGAACGGAGACACGGUCCAGACGACUAAGGGAGGCAGCAGUAGGGAAUCUUACGCAAUGGGCGAAAGCCUGACGGAGCAACGCCGCGUGAGUGAUGAAGGUCUUCGGAUCGUAAAACUCGGUUAUUAGGGAAGAACAAAUGUGUAAGUAACUAUGCACGUCUUGACGGUACCUAAUCAGAAAGCCACGGCUAACUACGUG
rnacentral:rRNA from 1 species